UACCUCAGUAACGGCGAGUGAAGCGGUAACAGCUCAAAUUUGAAAGCUAGCUCUUUUAGGGUUCGCAUUGUAAUUUGUAGAAGAUGCUUCGGGUGUGGCCCCGGUCUAAGUUCCUUGGAACAGGACGUCAUAGAGGGUGAGAAUCCCGUAUGUGACUGGGUGCUUUCGCUCAUGUGAAGCUCUUUCGACGAGUCGAGUUGUUUGGGAAUGCAGCUCAAAAUGGGUGGUAAAUUUCAUCUAAAGCUAAAUAUUGGCCAGAGACCGAUAGCGCACAAGUAGAGUGAUCGAAAGAUGAAAAGCACUUUGGAAAGAGAGUUAAACAGUACGUGAAAUUGUUGAAAGGGAAGCGCUUGCAACCAGACUUGCGCGCUGAUGAUCAUCCGGGCUUCUGCCCGGUGCACUCGUCUGCGCUCAGGCCAGCAUCGGUUUCGGUGGUGGGAUAAAGGCCUUGGGAAUGUAGCUCCUCUCGGGGAGUGUUAUAGCCCUCGGUGCAAUGCCGCCUACCGGGACCGAGGACCGCGCUUCGGCUAGGAUGCUGGCGUAAUGGUUGUAAGCGACCCGUCUUGAAACACGGACCAAGGAGUCUAACAUCUAUGCGAGUGUUUGGGUGUCAAACCCAUACGCGUAAUGAAAGUGAACGGAGGUGAGAACCCUUAAGGGUGCAUCAUCGACCGAUCCUGAUGUCUUCGGAUGGAUUUGAGUAAGAGCAUAGCUGUUGGGACCCGAAAGAUGGUGAACUAUGCGUGAAUAGGGUGAAGCCAGAGGAAACUCUGGUGGAGGCUCGCAGCGGUUCUGACGUGCAAAUCGAUCGUCAAAUUUGCGUAUA
rnacentral:rRNA from 1 species